GAACAAGCAAGACAGAGUACGAGGUGGAUGCCUAGGCGCUGAAGGCCGAAGAAGGACGCGGAGACCGGCGAAACGUUCAGGGGGAGCUGCAUGCGAGCGAGGAGCCCUGAGAAUCCGAAUGGGGCAACCCGUCCAGAGUGAUGUCUGGACAUCGGCGGCUGAAUCCAUAGGCCGCACGAAGGGCAGCAGGUGAACUGAAACAUCUCAGUAGCCUGACGAAAAGAAAUCAACCGAGAGUCCCGUAGUAGUGGCGAGCGAACCGGGAAGAAGCCCAAACCAUCCGCUCUCGCAAGAGAGCGGGCGGGGUUGUAGGACCGACAGAAGGAAUGAGGAGCUGAACUCGAAGGUACUGGAACGUACCACCGCAGCGGGUGAGAGUCCCGUAGAGGCAGGCGAGACAUUCUGGUUGGGAUCCUGAGUACCACGGGACACGUGCAAUCCUGUGGGAAGCAGGGGGGACCACCCUCCAAGGCUUAUUACCUUCAGCGACCGAUAGUGAACAAGUACCGUGAGGGAAAGGUGAAAAGCACCCCGAGAGGGGGAUGAAAGAGACCCUGAAACCACGUACUCACCAGCAGUCAGAGGUCACUGUGUCAGCACGACACUAAGGACUGAUGGCGUGCCUUUUGUAGAAUGAUCCGGCGAGUACAUCGUCGUCGCGUUGAGGUUAACCUCCGGUAAAGGAGGGGAGCCACAGGGAAACCGAGUCUGAAGCGGGCGAGAGAGUGGCGACGAUGAGACCCGAAACCGCGUGAGCUAUCCAUGGGCAGGGUGAAGCGGAUGUGAAAGUCCGUCGAGGCCCGCACUCACCAGUGUUGCAAAACUGGGGGAUGACCUGUGGAUAGGGGUGAAAUGCUAAUCGAACGCGGAGAUAGCUGGUUCUCCCCGAAAUGCAUUGAGGUGCAGCGGUACAGCAGCAGUCAUGGAGGUAGAGCGCUGGAUGGGCGCGGGGCCAAGUGCUGGUUACCAAUCCCAACCAAACUGCGAAUGCCAUGAGUGAGCGCGUGCCAGUGAGACGGCGGGGGCUAAGCUUCGUCGUCAAAAGGGAAACAGCCCAGACCAGCAGCUAAGGUCUCCAAGUGGAUGCUCAGUGGAAAAGGUAGUCAUCGCGCCCAAACAGCCAGGAUGUUGGCUUAGAAGCAGCCAUCAUUGAAAGAGUGCGUAAUAGCUCACUGGUCGAGUGAGGUGGCGCCGAGAACGUAUCGAGGCUCAAGCAUCCCACCGAAGCUCUGGAUCGAGUCCACGCCCUUCCCGUGCUUGCACAGGAGCGGCAGAGGUGAACUCGAUGGUAGGGGAGCGUUCUUGAGAGCUGGGAAGCCAGACCGGAAGGACUGGUGGAGCCAAGAGAAGUGCGAAUGCCGGAAUGAGUAGCGUCAGUGAUGUGUCAACCAUCACCACCGAAUGCCUGAGGGUUCCUGGGCACCGUCAAUCGACCCAGGGUGAGUCGGGCCCUAAGCCGAGGACGUUAGAGUCGUAGGCGAUGGAAAGCAGGUUGGAUACUCCUGCACCAGAGCGUGUCGUGAUGAGCGAGGAGGGGACGCGGUAGGGAAGGUGAACCCAUCGAAUGGACAGGAUGGGCUGCCCACCGGAAGGCGGAGAUCGAGGAAAACCCCGAUUUCGGAUCGUUGACCGGGGGCACGAGUCCGCGCAAGCGGGCGGAAGUCACUGGCCCCCAGGCCGCCCAGAAAAGCCUCUAGCCAGACAGCGCUCUGCCCGUACCGCAAACCGACACUGGUAGGCAGAGAGGAAUUCUCUUCAGGUGGACGAGCGACCCUCUGUUAAGGAACUCGGCAAAUUGACCCCGUACCUUUGGAAGAAGGGGUGCCCUAGUAAGUUGUCACCUUCGGGUGAUGAGUGAGGGGGCCGCAGAAAAUCGGCUCAAGCGACUGUUUACCAAAAACACAGGUCUCUGCGAAGGCGAAAGCCGACGUAUAGGGGCUGACUCCUGCCCAGUGCCGGAAGGUGAAUCUCUCUCGUGAUCGUAGCGGGAGGGCGAAGCCCCGGUGAACGGCGGCCGUAACUAUAACGGUCCUAAGGUAGCGAAAUUCCUUGUCGGGUAAGUUCCGACCCGCACGAAAGGAGUAACGACUUGAGCACUGUCUCAACAGGGGACUCGGCGAAAUUGCAGUACCCGUGAAGAUGCGGGUUACCCACGACAGGACAAAAAGACCCCGUGGAGCUUUACUACAACGUGGCCUGGAGAUGAGGCGAUCAUUGCGUAGGAUAGGUGGGAGCCAGUGAACCCAUCCUUGUGGGGGUGGGGGAGGCAAUGGUGAAAUACCACUCUGUGAUGGUGUUAUCUCUCAUGCUCAUCCGUGAUCCGGAGAGCAGACAGGGCCAGGCGGGUAGUUUGACUGGGGCGGUCGCCUCCCAAAGAGUAACGGAGGCGCCCCAAGGUUCCCUCAGGGUGGAUGGACAUCACCCGGAAGAGUGCAAAGGCAGAAGGGAGCUUGACUGCGAGGCGGACAGGCCGAGCAGGGACGAAAGUCGGGCUUAGUGAUCCCACAUUCCCGAGUGGAAGGAGUGUGGCUCAACGGACAAAAGCUACCCCGGGGAUAACAGGCUGAUCCUGCCCAAGAGUUCACAUCGACGGCAGGGUUUGGCACCUCGAUGUCGGCUCGGCGCAUCCUGGGGCUGGAGUAGGUCCCAAGGGUUGGGCUGUUCGCCCAUGAAAGCGUCACGCGAGCUGGGUUCAGAACGUCGUGAGACAGUUCGGUCUCUAUCCGUCGUGGGCGGUGGAAGAUUGAGGGGCGUCAUCUCCAGUACGAGAGGACCGAGAUGGCUCGACCGCUGGUGAGUCAGUUGGCCUGCCCGGGCCAUGGCUGGGUAGCUAUGUCGAGAACGGAGAAACGCUGAAAGCAUCUAAGCGUGAAGCCGCACCCAAGAUGAGUCUUCCCACUGUUCUUCGGGACAGUCAAGAUCCCAGGAAGACGACCUGGUUGAUAGACCGCAGGUGGACGCCUGGUAACAGGUGAAGCUGAGCGGCCCUAAUGAUCGAACGGCUUGUCUCA
rnacentral:rRNA from 1 species